rnacentral:rRNA from 1 species
AGUUCGAUCAUGGCUCAGAUUGAACGCUGGCGGGAUGCUUUACACAUGCAAGUCGAACGGCAGCACGGACUUCGGUCUGGUGGCGAGUGGCGAACGGGUGAGUAAUGUAUCGGAACGUGCCUAGUAGUGGGGAUAACUACGCGAAAGCGUAGCCAAUACCGCAUACGCCCUUCGGGGGAAAGCGGGGGACCUUCGGGCCUCGCACUAUUAGAGCGGCCGAUAUCGGAUUAGCUGUUGGUGGGUAACGGCUCACCAAGGCGACGAUCCGUAGCUGGUUUGAGAGGACGACCAGCCACACUGGGACUGAGACACGGCCCAGACUCCUACGGAGGCAGCAGUGGGGAAUUUUGGACAAUGGGGGAAACCCUGAUCCAGCCAUCCCGCGUGAUGAAGGCCUUCGGGUUGUAAAGCACUUUUGGCAGGAAAGAAACGGCACGGGAUAAUACCCCGUGCAACUGACGGUACCUGCAGAAUAAGCACCGGCUAACUACGCGCCAGCAGCCGCGGUAAUACGUAGGGUGCAAGCGUUAAUCGGAAUUACUGGGCGUAAAGCGUGCGCAGGCGGUUCGGAAAGAAAGAUGUGAAAUCCCAGAGCUUAACUUUGGAACUGCAUUUUUAACUACCGAGCUAGAGUGUGUCAGAGGGAGGUGGAAUUCCGGCGUGUAGCAGUGAAAUGCGUAGAUAUGCGGAGGAACACCGAUGGCGAAGGCAGCCUCCUGGGAUAACACUGACGCUCAUGCACGAAAGCGUGGGGAGCAAACAGGAUUAGAUACCCUGGUAGUCCACGCCCUAAACGAUGUCAACUAGCUGUUGGGGCUUCGGGCCUUGGUAGCGCAGCUAACGCGUGAAGUUGACCGCCUGGGGAGUACGGUCGCAAGAUUAAAACUCAAAGGAAUUGACGGGGACCCGCACAAGCGGUGGAUGAUGUGGAUUAAUUCGAUGCAACGCGAAAACCUUACCUACCCUUGACAUGUCUGGAAUCCCGAAGAGAUUUGGGAGUGCACGCAAGAGAACCGGAACACAGGUGCUGCAUGGCUGUCGUCAGCUCGUGUCGUGAGAUGUUGGGUUAAGCUCCGCAACGAGCGCAACCCUUGUCAUUAGUUGCUACGAAAGGGCACUCUAAUGAGACUGCCGGUGACAAACCGGAGGAAGGUGGGGAUGACGUCAAGUCCUCAUGGCCCUUAUGGGUAGGGCUUCACACGUCAUACAAUGGUCGGGACAGAGGUCGCCAACCCGCGAGGGGGAGCCAAUCCCAGAAACCCGAUCGUAGUCCGGAUCGCAGUCUGCAACUCUCGACUGCGUGAAGUCGGAAUCGCUAGUAAUCGCGGAUCAGCAUGUCGCGGCAAGAAUACGUUCCCGGGUCUUGUACACACCGCCCGUCACACCAUGGGAGUGGGUUUUACCAGAAGUAGUUAGCCUAACCGUAAGGAGGGCGAUUACCACGGUAGGAUUCAUGACUGGGGUGAAGUCGUAACAAGGUAA